GAGGAUGAGCCCGCGGACCAUUAGCUUGUUGGUGGGGUAAUGGCUCACCAAGGCGACGAUCGGUAGCCGAACUGAGAGGUUGAUCGGCCACAUUGGGACUGAGACACGGCCCAGACUCCUACGGGAGGCAGCAGUGGGGAAUAUUGCGCAAUGGGGGGAACCCUGACGCAGCAACGCCGCGUGAAGGAAGAAGGCCUUCGGGUUGUAAACUUUUUUGAUUGGGGAAGAAAAAAAUGACGGUACCCAAGGAACAAGCCACGGCUAACUACGUGCCAGCAGCCGCGGUAAUACGUAGGUGGCGAGCGUUGUCCGGAAUUACUGGGUGUAAAGGGCGUGUAGGCGGGAUUGUAAGUCAGAUGUGAAAUUCCAGGGCUUAACUCUGGAGGUGCAUCUGAAACUAUAAUUCUUGAGUGCUGGAGAGGAAAGCGGAAUUCCUAGUGUAGCGGUGAAUGCGUAGAUAUUAGGAAGAACACCAGUGGCGAAGGCGGCUUUCUGGACAGUAACUGACGCUGAGGCGCGAAAGCGUGGGGAGCAAACCGGAUUAGAUACCCUGGUAGUCCACGCUGUAAACGAUGGAUACUAGGUGUAGGAGGUAUCGACCCCUUCUGUGCCGGAGUACACACAAUGAGUAUCACACGUGGAGAGUGCGCCCACAAGGCUGCACUCAGAGGUAUCGACGGGCGCCAGCACAAGCAGAGUAGUAUGUGGAAUUAGUCGCAGCAACGAGAACAUCCCCAGCAGGGCACAACAUCCGGAGGAUAACGAAGAGAUAUAUUUGUUCUGCGCGACGAGAAAACAGGUGCAUCAUGGUCGUCGCACGCUCUCGUAGUAAGAUGGUGAAUAACUCCAACAACGCGACCACACUUAUUGUUAGCCACCAUCAAUAAGGCGCUCAUUCGAGCGAGCCUGCCGCUGACUCAUAGGAGGAAGGUGACGACGACGUAUCAUCAUACGCCCUAUAUCUCCUGCGAUACACACAUAACACAAGGCACACCACAAAGGGAACCAAUACCGCAAGGAGGACAAAUCCCCAAAGUGACCUCAGUUCGG
rnacentral:rRNA from 1 species